rnacentral:rRNA from 1 species
AUGGAUGCCCCAUGUGAGACCUAUGGUUCGGUGAGAUGCCAAAGGGAUAAGAAGUUCUUCAUAGAUCUGCCGAACGACUUCCUCACUAGGAUGUGCACCCUCAUGAAGAUGCCGACGACCCAAAAAUUCAAUUGUCUUGUCACCAACGAUGCAAACCACACCUACUUCGGUUGCCCUGGUUGGAAAGCCCUUGCAGAUGCUUACGAGAUGGAAGAUGGGGAGAGAGCCACGUUCUACCUCAACUACGAUCGUGACGAGAUCAUGGUCUACAACAAGCCUGCUGACAGCGAUGAUGGUGCACUUACUCCGGACUAUGACCCUGACUCCGCCCGCCGAAAAGUCGUAGUAAGCUAG